rnacentral:rRNA from 1 species
AGAGUUUGAUUCUGGCUCAGGACGAACGCUGGCGGCGCGCCUAACACAUGCAAGUCGAACGGAGCUUAGAGAGCUUGCUUUUUAAGCUUAGUGGCGAACGGGUGAGUAACGCGUGAGUAACCUGCCCUAGAGUGGGGGACAACAGUUGGAAACGACUGCUAAUACCGCAUAAGCCCACGGUAUCGCAUGGUACUGAGGGAAAAGGAUUUAUUCGCUUUAGGAUGGACUCGCGUCCAAUUAGCUAGUUGGUGAGGUAACGGCCCACCAAGGCGACGAUUGGUAGCCGGACUGAGAGGUUGAACGGCCACAUUGGGACUGAGACACGGCCCAGACUCCUACGGGAGGCAGCAGUGGGGGAUAUUGCACAAUGGGGGAAACCCUGAUGCAGCGACGCCGCGUGGAGGAAGAAGGUUUUCGGAUUGUAAACUCCUGUCGUUAGGGACGAUAAUGACGGUACCUAACAAGAAAGCACCGGCUAACUACGUGCCAGCAGCCGCGGUAAAACGUAGGGUGCAAGCGUUGUCCGGAAUUACUGGGUGUAAAGGGAGCGCAGGCGGGAAGACAAGUUGGAAGUGAAAACCAUGGGCUCAACCCAUGAAUUGCUUUCAAAACUGUUUUUCUUGAGUAGUGCAGAGGUAGAUGGAAUUCCCGGUGUAGCGGUGGAAUGCGUAGAUAUCGGGAGGAACACCAGUGGCGAAGGCGGUCUACUGGGCACCAACUGACGCUGAGGCUCGAAAGCAUGGGUAGCAAACAGGAUUAGAUACCCUGGUAGUCCAUGCCGUAAACGAC